GACGAACGCUGGCGGCGUGCUUAACACAUGCAAGUCGAACGGUAAGGCCCUUCGGGGUACACGAGUGGCGAACGGGUGAGUAACACGUGGGUGAUCUGCCCUGCACUUCGGGAUAAGCCUGGGAAACUGGGUCUAAUACCGGAUAGGACCACUGCCUGCAUGGGUGGUGGUGGAAAGCUUUUGCGGUGUGGGAUGGGCCCGCGGCCUAUCAGCUUGUUGGUGGGGUGGUGGCCUACCAAGGCGACGACGGGUAGCCGGCCUGAGAGGGUGACCGGCCACACUGGGACUGAGAUACGGCCCAGACUCCUACGGGAGGCAGCAGUGGGGAAUAUUGCACAGUGGGCGCAAGCCUGAUGCAGCGACGCCGCGUGAGGGAUGACGGCCUUCGGGUUGUAAACCUCUUUCAGCACCGACGAAGCGCAAGUGACGGUAGGUGCAGAAGAAGGACCGGCCAACUACGUGCCAGCAGCCGCAGUAA
rnacentral:rRNA from 1 species